GGAGGGGAGAGGCAAGUGUGGCAUUGCUGACCAGGUCAGGACAGUUUCCUGAAGGGUGGUGCAUUGCUGAGUCCCCUGAAAGUGAGAGGGACAUCAAUUCACCUGUCAUUUCCACCCUUCAUGACUAUCUCCACAGAACUGGGCUGCCCUGAGGUGAAAAGCCUUCCUUCACUCUGUGCCCCAUGCUGAGAUGCUCUGCUUCACCACAGGCCCUAAAGCAACACAGCAACCUACCAUGGGAUGAAGACCUCUGAUACUAUGAGCCAAAGUAAAUCCUAUUUCCUCAUAAGUUGAUUUGCCACCAAAAACAAAAAACAAAGCAAAACAAAAAACUAACACAAUACUACAGUUAGAUGAUGCUGUUUUAAAUGAACACA